ensembl:lncRNA
AAAAACAACAUAAGGGGUAACACUGUUGUUUUUUAUUGGUAGUCAUGAAAAAAAACAUAAGGGGUAACACUGUUGUUUUUGUCAAAUAAAACAUAAGGGGUAACACUGUUGUUUUUUAUUGGUCGUCAUGAAAAAAAACAUAAGGGGUAACACUGUUGUUUUUGUCAAAUAAAAUAUAAGGGGUAACACUGAUGUUUUUCAUCAGUCAUCAUGGGAAAAAAACACAAGGGGUAACACUGUUGUUUCUUAUUGGUCGUCAUGAAAAAAAACACAAGGGGGGUAACACUGUUGUUUUUUAUUGGUCUUCAUGAAAAAAAACAUAAGGGGUAACACUGUUGUUUUUGUCAAAUAAAUUAUAAGGGGUAACACUGUUGUUUUUUAUUGGUCGUCAUGAAAAAAAACAAGGGGGGUAACACUGUUGUUUUUCAUAAGUCAUCAUGGGAAAAAAACACAAGAGGUAACACUGUUGUUUUUUAUUGGUCGUCAUGAAAAAAAACAUAAGGGGUAACACUGUUGUUUUUUAUUGGUCAUCAUGAAAAAAAACAUAAGGGGUAACACUUGUUUUUUAUUGGUCGUCAUGAAAAAAAACAUAAGGGGUAACACUGUUGUUUUUUAUUGGUUCGUCAUGAAAAAAAACAUAAGGGGUAACACUGUUGUUUUUUAUUGGUCGUCAUGAAAAAAAACAUAAGGGGUAACACUGUUGUUUUUGUCAAAUAAAUUAUAAGGGGUAACACUGUUGUUU